GUGAGGAAUAUUGGUCAAUGGACGGAAGUCUGAACCAGCCAUGCCGCGUGCAGGAAUAAGGUCCUAUGGAUUGUAAACUGCUUUUAUUCGGGAAUAAACCUCUUUACGUGUAGGGAGCUGAAGGUACCGAAGGAAUAAGCACCGGCUAACUCCGUGCCAGCAGCCGCGGUAAUACGGAGGUUGCAAGCGUUAUCCGGAAUCAUUGGGUUUAAAGGGUCCGCAGGCGGGCUAUCAAGUCAGAGGUGAAAUCCCACAGCUUAACUGUGGAACUGGCUGUGAAACUGAUGGUCUUGAAUUAAGUGGGCGUUGGCGGAAUAUGACAUGUAGCGGUGAAAUGCAUAGAUAUGUCAUGGAACACCGAAAGCGAAGGCAGCUAACGAUACUUAUAUUGACGCUCAUGGACGAAAGCGUGGGUAGCGAACAGGAUUAGAUACCCUGGUAGUCC
rnacentral:rRNA from 1 species